ACGAAUUUUACUUUUAUAAUUUUUAUAAGAAGGGAAAUUGAUUAUGAUUUUAAUUUUUUAAAUUUUAUUUUUUAAAAAAGUUAUGACUUGACCAGUGUAUAAAAUUUUCAUUGUUUUAGUUGGUUCAUAUAAUCUACGUAAUAAUAUAUCUCUCAUCUGUAUAGGUGAUCUUCGUCCGUUCGAUCUCGGAACAGCCUAAUCUGUUCAUCCUGAGAGCCGAAGCAUCACCAAUUGCUUCUUCCUAUCGCUAUUAUGAUCCACUAACCAGUCCCAAGAAUUUUUCAAAGACAGGUUGGAGAUGAAUUUGGUUUGCGUUGUAGGGCAGCAAUUCCACUUGUCGCUCUCUCUUUCUCUCUGGAUGCCAAAGAUCGAACAGGUUUCCACAUGCUGAAAAUCAAACAGAUGCUCAAUUGCUUAGAUCAUACAAGCCUCGAUUCUUCCUCUUUACUCUCAAACAGAAAAUUUGUUCAUAGGCACUUUGAAGCUAAUUCACAAGCAAUUUGAGGAAAAAUCACUGGCUACCCAAAAACAGACUGCAUAUUCUAUGGACAUUUUUCAACUUGCAUUACAGUUGCAUUCCUAUCAUAGUCAUAGCCUACCGUUGUGGUCUACACGUGUCAUGCUCCUCUGCUGUCAUAAUUGGUACUAGAGUUAAGGACAGUCAUGAUUCCAACAAUCCAAAAUAAAACAUAGCUGAUAUGAUAGCUCCUGUCCAUCAGUGCGUCAGUCCUAAUAGCUAAAAGGAUUGGGAGAUUGUUUUUGAACAGCUUACUGGGCUACUCUCAAGAGUCUUCAACUAGAGGAGCUUAUGUGUGCCUACACUGCUGGUUUGGUUGCAGUAGGAUUGUAGCCCGUGCUUCAAGGGUGAGAAGGUGGUACAAGAGAAGAAAGUGCAAGAAGUUAUUGUGGAGAAGGAAUGCAAAAUGGUCGGACAAUUACAUUCCCAGAAGGAGCUGAUUAAGCUCCUGACACAAUCACAAGAGGCAUGGUGUACAAUCUUCAAUAGAAGGAUCAUCCUACGUUUACAUGGAAGGGUAAUGAUCUAUUUGUUGAGCAUACAUCGUCUCUCACUGAGCUACCCUCCAUCAAAUACCCACCCUGGAGAAGUUGUAAAGCCUGAUCAAGUUAGUACAGGUACAAGUGACAAAUACAGGAAGGUAUUGGAUCAAAUGCAAAGAUUGGACCAAGUGGACAUUUGAGUAGGAAAGAUCAAGGUGGACAUCCACUUGGAAGAACUCGAGCACAUCCAACAAAGUCAUAGUAUAAAAGGGAGUGUUUUGAGGUAUUGUUGAAUUCUAGGCAGCAACACGGUGCUAUCAACUCGAUUGAUGCAGAUUCUAGCAUUUUUGAAGCUUGAAGAAAUCAACUUAUUUUUUAAUCCAAGUAGAAGCUUGGAGAGUGACAUUGAUUUCUUAACUGAAGGAUUGAAUGGAAAGGCAACUAUUAUUACAGGCAUUGGCAAUUAUAAAGUUAAGAGUUCCGCA